GGUUAAGUUAGAAAGGGCGCACGGUGGAUGCCUUGGCACUAGGAGCCGAAGAAGGACGGGACUAACACCGAUAUGCUUUGGGGAGCUGUACGUAAGCGUUGAUCCAGAGAUUUCCGAAUGGGGGAACCCACUAUCUUUAGUCGGAUAGUAUCCUUACGUGAAUACAUAGCGUGAGGAAGGCAGACCCAGGGAACUGAAACAUCUAAGUACCUGGAGGAAGAGAAAGAAAAAUCGAUUUCCUGAGUAGCGGCGAGCGAAACGGAAAGAGCCCAAACCAAGAAGCUUGCUUCUUGGGGUUGUAGGACACUCUAUACGGAGUUACAAAAGAAAGUUAUAAAUGAAGCGGUCUGGAAAGGCCCGCCAAAGACGGUAACAGCCCGGUAGUUGAAAUGGCUUUCCCUCCAGAGUGGAUCCUGAGUACGGCGGAACACGUGAAAUUCCGUCGGAAUCCGGGAGGACCAUCUCCCAAGGCUAAAUACUCCCUAGUGACCGAUAGUGAACCAGUACCGUGAGGGAAAGGUGAAAAGCACCCCGGAAGGGGAGUGAAACAGUUCCUGAAACCGUGUGCCUACAAGUAGUUAGAGCCCGUUAAUGGGUGAUAGCGUGCCUUUUGUAGAAUGAACCGGCGAGUUACGAUUUGUUGCAAGGUUAAGCGGAAAAAGCGGAGCCGUAGCGAAAGCGAGUCUGAAUAGGGCGCAUAAGUAACAGGUCGUAGACCCGAAACCAGGUGAUCUACCCAUGUCCAGGAUGAAGGUAAGGUAAUACUUACUGGAGGUCCGAACCCACGCACGUUGAAAAGUGCGGGGAUGAGGUGUGGGUAGCGGAGAAAUUCCAAUCGAACUUGGAGAUAGCUGGUUCUCUCCGAAAUAGCUUUAGGGCUAGCCUCGAGGUAAAGAGUCAUGGAGGUAGAGCACUGUUUGGACUAGGGGCCCUUCUCGGGUUACCGAAUUCAGAUAAACUCCGAAUGCCAUGUACUUAUACUCGGGAGUCAGACUGCGAGUGAUAAGAUCCGUAGUCGAAAGGGAAACAGCCCAGACCACCAGUUAAGGUCCCCAAAUAUAUGUUAAGUGGAAAAGGAUGUGGGGUUGCUUAGACAACCAGGAUGUUGGCUUAGAAGCAGCCACCAUUGAAAGAGUGCGUAAUAG
rnacentral:rRNA from 1 species